GUUUGAAAAGACUGCAAAGAAAAUCACCUGAUGCUUUUUAUUCUUAGAAGUCCAUGUAAUAAGGCAACGACAAUUCUAGGUUGGGUUUUUUAAAAAAAUAUUUUUUUUUUCAGAAGAUACAUAGUUUGCAAGCUAAACAGUUUGCAUUAACACUGUCCAGUUGAUAACACCAAACAACAGCUGCUCUCCUCUAUGUUAUGGAGAAAAUGGUUACCAUUUCACAAAACCAUGACAGAAGCAAGGAUUUACAUUUCUAAAUUGUGACUAGGAAGGAACACAUAUAGUGGAGCUGUGUUUUCUGCUGGCUUUACAAGAGGUUCUGAGGUGUUUAUAUUGAGGAUAACAUCAAAAUCAGUACUUGAUGACGUCCAGACUACAGAGCAAUUGGAAAACUCAUCAAUGUCGCAAGAUCUGUCAACUCCUGGUGAAAAAAAGAGCACAUCUUUUAACUCUUGACUUGGAGUGCACCUUUUAAAGUGAAACCUUAUGAAGAAAGCUGGAUGAAUGAUGCCCGCCUCCACUCAUAAGCACGCAAGUGUGACGCAGCCUUCCUUCUGCACAUUAACUUCAAAAGCUCCUGACAAUCUGUGUUGGCAAGCCCAUUACAUCCGUUCCCUUC
rnacentral:lncRNA from 1 species